rnacentral:lncRNA from 1 species
AUGCCUCUGCUGUACGCCUCGGCCACAGGACACAGAGCACUAAGAAGACAGAGAACAGCCCUGCAAAGCUAAUCUGCUCAACCUUCACCUACUGGGUUCAAUGAAUAUGAAAAGCUGCCUUCCUGAAACUUUUCCUUCAAAGAGGGAAUGAUCUCCUGGAAUUCAAGCUUCUACAAGGUGGCUACCUGGUGUUUUCCACUUUUGCCGUCUCCUAAAAAGCAUCAUUCAAGCCUUGCCCUUUCAACCCACUGAACACAUAAACAUGCUUUCUCCUUAACUGAACUUAUGGCCACGAUGAACUUGAACUCUGAGAUUCACAGAGGAGAGUUUGUUUUAACAGCUGCUUUUACAAUGAAGCCCUGGAGUUACUACUCUCAAGACCCCUGGUUCUGAUAGGCCAUCUUUUCACUGUCCUCUGCAUUUUCUAAUGCCCAGCUGUCAAGGAACACCCACUGAAGUUUUCCAAAACAAAGGCACGAAACACAAGAAAGGCAAGAGAAUGCUAAUCACCAGAUGCAUGGGCAUCCUAUGGGGGAACCCCUUACAUGUGGAAUACGGU